rnacentral:rRNA from 1 species
GUCUUUUUGAUUUAUAUAUAAAGUCUGACCUGCCCACUGAAAAUUUUAAAUGGCUGCAGUAAUUUGACUGUACAAAGGUAGCAUAAUCAUUAGUUUUUUAAUUAAAAGCUUGUAUGAAAGGUUGGACGAAGUAAAAUCUGUCUCUUUUUAAUAUAAUUAGAAUUUAAUUUUUAAGUAAAAAAGCUUAAAUUUUUAUAAAAGACGAGAAGACCCUAUAGAGUUUAAUAAUUUUAAUAAAAUAUUUAAUUAAGAUUUAUUAAUUUUAUUUAAUUAAAAUUAUUUUAUUGGGGUAAUAAAAAGAUUAAAAAAAUUCUUUUUUUUUAAUACAUUAAUUUAUGAAUAUAUGAUCCAUUUGUAGUGAUUAAAAGAUUAAAUUACCUUAGGGAUAACAGCGUAAUUUUUUUAAAGAGUUCUUAUCGAUAAAAAAGUUUGCGACCUCGAUGUUGGAUUAAAGAUUAAUUUAGGUGUAGAAGUUUAAAUUUUUGGUCUGUUCGACCAUUAAAUCUUUACAUGAUCUGAGUUCAAACCGGUGUAAGCCAGGUUGGUUUCUAUCUUUAUUAAUUUUUUAUAUUUUAGUACGAAAGGACCAAAUAUAAAAUAUAUAAAUAUUUUUAUUUUGAAUAUUAUUAAAUUAGUUAUUUUGGCAGAUUAGUGUAAUGAAUUUAGAAUUCAUUUAUGUAAAUAUUUUACAAAUAAUACUUGUUUAUAAAAGAUAUAAUUAUUUCUUUUAUUUUAAUUAUUUUAUUAAUUAUUUGUGUUUUAGUAGGUGUAGCUUUUUUAACUUUAUUAGAACGAAAGGUUUU